UACGGAGGGUGCAAGCGUUACUCGGAAUCACUGGGCGUAAAGCGCGCGCAGGCGGCUUUGUAAGUUGGAUGUGAAAUCCUAUGGCUCAACCAUAGAACUGCAUCCAAAACUACUUAGCUAGAGUCUGGGAGGGGAAGAUGGAAUUAGUGGUGUAGGGGUAAAAUCCGUAGAGAUCACUAGGAAUACCAAAAGCGAAGGCGAUCUUCUGGAACAGUACUGACGCUGAGGCGCGAAAGCGUGGGGAGCAAACAGGAUUAGAUACCCUGGUAGUCCACGCCCUAAACGAUGAAUGUUAGUCGUCGGGUAGCUAGUCUAUUCGGUGAUGCAGUUAACACAUUAAACAUUCCGCCUGGGGAGUACGAUCGCAAGAUUAAAACUCAAAGGAAUAGACGGGGACCCGCACAAGUGGUGGAGCAUGUGGUUUAAUUCGAAGAUACGCGAAGAACCUUACCUGGCCUUGACAUUGAUAGAAUCUGCUAGAGAUAGCGGAGUGCCUUUCGGGGAGCUUGAAAACAGGUGCUGCACGGCUGUCGUCAGCUCGUGUCGUGAGAUGUUGGGUUAAGUCCCGCAACGAGCGCAACCCUCGUUCUUAGUUACUAACGGUUCGGCCGAGGACUCUAAGAAGACUGCCUUCGCAAGGAGGAGGAAGGUGAGGACGACGUCAAGUCAUCAUGGCCCUUACGGCCAGGGCAACACACGUGCUACAAUGGGUAGGACAAUGAGACGCGAUACCGCGAGGUGGAGCAAAUCUAUAAACCUAUUCUCAGUUCGGAUUGUAGUCUGCAACUCGACUACAUGAAGCUGGAAUCACUAGUAAUCGUAGAUCAGCUAUGCUACGGUGAAUACGUUCCCGGGUCU
rnacentral:rRNA from 1 species